CAUAGGCUUUUGUAUAGAUUGUAAAUGCAAUAAUUAAGGUAGCAGCUGGCAGUUUAAUGUUAGGACAUAGAUUGUAAAUGCAAUAAUAAUUAAGGGAGCAGCUGGUAGUUUAAUGUUACGGCAUUUGGUGGUGUACAUGCCUUGAUCUUGCUGCUUCUACAUACUUCUUGCAUUGGGCUUAGGCUUUUUGUUGGUAUACUUCUACAAUUUGCUAUCAGCCACAUAGAGUUUGCUAUCAGAUAUUCACUGUGAUGCUUUACGGGACUCGGUAGGCUAAAGGCAAUAAGGUGUUAUCAUUGCUAUUCCCAGCUUUCAAUUGGUAGAAAGGCUCUGCUGAAGUUUGGUAAAAUUUGUUGUGUCAAUUCUAGCGUGGUAGCAUUUUGUGUCUUUGGAAGUGCACCUGCGAAACAAGGAAGUGCCAAGAUUACAGUAGAGGUUGCUUUGCAUUUCUGGUGUAUAAAAGCACCAUGCCAUUUUCAAGAAGAUUUUGGUUCACUUCACAAUACUCCUCAAGUUUUGCAGGUUCCCAAAUGAGAAAUUAAAAACAAUCAAAAGCUCCUUGCUUCAACUAGUGGACAGUUCAAAAUACUAUUCACAUACCUUUAAUAUUCAAAGCAACACUUAUCUUAUUUUGUUUUGUAAAUAACUAGUUAAUUAUCUUUCGCUACAAACAUUCGAUAAUAUGCUUAGUUUUUGUAAAUAUAAAUCUUAUGCACUGUCUAGUUGCAUACAUAAUAGACAUAGUAAUAGAUACCAUACUUUUCAAACUGCCAUUUUAUACUAUUUUUGAAGACGAGUUCUUAGAACACUACAACACGUUAUCUUUUUUGCAUUCAA